rnacentral:lncRNA from 1 species
UCAUAUGGGCUUCCAUGUUGAUAUUGUUGUGGCGCGAGGGCACGGUCGAGCCACCCCUCAACGCGCGUGUUGUCGUCCGCCAGCCCAACACGCGGCGUCCUUGGCAUUAAGCAGCCACGCCAACGCAAGCUGACGACGGGCAGGUGCUCCUCGAUCCCCGACAAGAUCGAGUCACGCAUGCUCCGGCGCCGCGCGAAGGCGAUGGAGCACACGGGCGCGUGCACGGGGCCGAGAGAGGUUGUGGCCAGCUCGGGGCGUGUGCAGAAAGACCAGCGAAGACGGAGCUCGGCGGUCAUAGUCAGCGGCU